rnacentral:rRNA from 1 species
AUGUCAUCGCCGAUCAAUUACAUCUUCAUGGAAUCUCUCGACAAAUGUGUCAUGAUCAUCAUCAACAUUCUGAGCUUUUUCAGGAUAUCAAACAAAUUAAUGAGGGGAAAUACAAUCCUUCCCCUCAAUGAUUUAUGUUAUCAUCGACAACAUUCUUGCCUUCCCCAACACAAACUUGUUCAUAUAAUUUUGGAAAUACAUCCUUUUUGGCCUACUAGAUUGGUUGUUCUUGCCAUGGGAGAAGUGCUUAGCUUUGGGUUCGAUCUUGUGGUAUCCUUUCCCAGUGACAGAAGGGGCAGCAAGGCACGUAUUGUAUCGUUGCCAUCGAGGAUAACAAGAUGGGGUUUUUAUCAUAUUGCAUGA